rnacentral:rRNA from 1 species
AGCCCAGCACCGAAUCCUUCACCAUCUCGGUGACAGGAAAUGUGGUGUUUAGGCCGUACCUUGUCCCGACACGUCUCUCCUCAAGUCCACUUGAUUGUGGCCCCAGGCCCAGAGAGGGUGUAAGGCCCGUGGAGGCGAGACGUUCGGUACCUGGUGCGUCCUUAGAGUCGGGUUGUUUGGGAAUGCAGCCCUAAGCGGGUGGUAAACUCCAUCCAAGGCUAAAUACCAGCACGAGUCCGAUAGCGAAGAAGUACCGCGAGGGAAGGUUGAAAAGAACUUUGAAGAGAGAGUUCAAGAGUACGUGAAACCGCUGAGAGGCAAACUGGUGGAACUGAAAUGGUCCCGAGGAAUUCAGCCGUUGGUCGUUGCACAGUCUUUGGUGAUUGAUCUAACGACGGCGCCAUUGAAUGACGUUUCGAUCAUCGGUGCACUUUCCUCGCCUGGGCCCGACCACGACCGGUGAGCUGAUCUGUCUGUCGUGCUUGGAAGAUAGCGCCGUCUUCGGAAGGCGUGUUAUAGACAGGCAUACGGAGCAGUCGGCGCACUGGAUGAUAGUGCCUGCCCAUCUGGGCUCAUAUGGUGGUUGUUUUGUUGGCGAGUUCUGAUGUCACUACUUCGGUAGAGUCGUUAGACUCUGUUGGCAUUAUGGCUGUCCUCUAUGAUUGGCACUGUUAAGUCUGUGGUUGUGAAGUAGGUAGUCCACCUGACCCGUCUUGAAACACGGACCAAGGAGUCUAACAUGUGCGCGAGUCAUUGGGUUCACGAAACCUAAAGGCGCAGUGAAGGUAAAGAUCUGUUUUGGCAGAUUGAGGUGGGAUGCCGGGUUACGCGCCCGGCCGCACUACCGGCCCGUUCUAUAUGUCUUUCAUAGGAGCGGAGCAAGAGCGUACACGUUGGGACCCGAAAGAUGGUGAACUAUGCUUGCGCAGGU